CAGUCGAGCGGACAGAUGGGAGCUUGCUCCCUGAUGUUAGCGGCGGACGGGUGAGUAACACGUGGGUAACCUGCCUGUAAGACUGGGAUAACUCCGGGAAACCGGGGCUAAUACCGGAUGGUUGUUUGAACCGCAUGGUUCAAACAUAAAAGGUGGCUUCGGCUACCACUUACAGAUGGACCCGCGGCGCAUUAGCUAGUUGGUGAGGUAACGGCUCACCAAGGCGACGAUGCGUAGCCGACCUGAGAGGGUGAUCGGCCACACUGGGACUGAGACACGGCCCACACUCCUACGGGAGGCAGCAGUAGGGAAUCUUCCGCAAUGGACGAAAGUCUGACGGAGCAACGCCGCGUGAGUGAUGAAGGUUUUCGGAUCGUAAAGCUCUGUUGUUAGGGAAGAACAAGUACCGUUCGAAUAGGGCGGUACCUUGACGGUACCUAACCAGAAAGCCACGGCUAACUACGUGCCAGCAGCCGCGGUAAUACGUAGGUGGCAAGCGUUGUCCGGAAUUAUUGGGCGUAAAGGGCUCGCAGGCGGUUUCUUAAGUCUGAUGUGAAAGCCCCCGGCUCAACCGGGGAGGGUCAUUGGAAACUGGGGAACUUGAGUGCAGAAGAGGAGAGUGGAAUUCCACGUGUAGCGGUGAAAUGCGUAGAGAUGUGGAGGAACACCAGUGGCGAAGGCGACUCUCUGGUCUGUAACUGACGCUGAGGAGCGAAAGCGUGGGGAGCGAACAGGAUUAGAUACCCUGGUAGUCCACGCCGUAAACGAUGAGUGCUAAGUGUUAGGGGGUUUCCGCCCCUUAGUGCUGCAGCUAACGCAUUAAGCACUCCGCCUGGGGAGUACGGUCGCAAGA
rnacentral:rRNA from 1 species